rnacentral:rRNA from 1 species
GCAUAUCAAUAAGCGGAGGAAAAGAAACUAACUAGGAUUCCCCCAGUAACUGCGAGUGAAGAGGGAAGAGCUCAUCAUUGGAAUCUGGCGGUGUUGCACCGUCCGAGUUGUAGAUGAGGAGUGGUUCAUCUGGACUGCAUGGCGUCCAAGUACAAUAGGCCGUCAGUGGGACAUCAUAGAGGGUGACAAUCCCGUCCUUGACGCCAAUGUGCAAGUCCAUUAUGAUGGCUAUCUCAGAGAGUCGAGCAGUUUGGGAUUUGCUGCUUAAACAUGGGAGGUAGAUUCCUUCUAAAGCUAAAUACAGGCAAGAGACCGAUAGAGAACAAGUACCGCAAGAGAAAGAUGAAAUAGCGCUCUGUGAAGGGAGUCAAAAGGCGUGAAAUUGUUGCGAGAGAAGCGAUUCAAGUCAGCGUAGCUAGGCCCAUUAAGCCUCUUUGCGCUUUGGACUAGCUUUGCCAGCGGUCUUGUCCUUAGAGACUUGACUUGUAUGUCCAGCCUGGUAUGCACAGGUAGCCCUCCGGGGUCAGUGACAUGGCUGGUGGAAUGGCUUGCAAUCGACCCGUCUUGAAACACGGACCAAGGAGUCUAACAUGUAUGCGAGUAUAAGGGUGGCAAACCCGUAUGCGCAAUGAAAGUGAUUUUCGGUGAUUGAGAAUGGCCUGAUGACCAGACAAGCAAUAUACAUGUCCCUCGUACGGCCAUUGCCCAAGUUCCGUGGUAGAUCCCACGAACAUGGAGUUGGAGCAUACAUGCUAGGACCCGAAAGAUGGUGAACUAUGCCUGGACAAAGCGAAGCCAAAGGAAACUCUGGUGGAGGCUUGUAGCGAUUCUGACGUGCAAAUCGAUCGUCUGAUCUGGGUAUAGGGGCGAAAGACUAAUCGAACCAUCUCAUAGCUGGUUCCUGCCGAAGUUUCCCUCAGGAU